AAAAGUAACAAAUAAGGAAUCAGAAUCUCAGCACAAACAACCGGAAGCAAUUGGAACUCAGCAAAACAAAGGUUCGUAUAUCAAAGGAAAAAUCAUGCAAAAAAUCCUGAACUAAUUAAAGGUUUUCAAUUUCCUCCUAAACUUUAAUUUAGUGCAAUUAGAUCAUCGAUUCGUUCAAUUUGGACCAUGGCUAUAAAUUCUGUCUGGCUGUCGUGUAUAAGCAGGUCUCCUCUUCUACCAUACAAGCAGGUCUUAUGACAUCACGUGACAAUUCCGUUGCUGCAGCCAGACAGAAUUCUUAGCAGUCCGGAUUGAAAGAAUUUAGACAUUUGAUGACCUGAUUGCACUAAAUUAAAGUUCAGAAGAAAAUUGAAAACCUUCAAAUAGUUUAGGAUUUUUUGUGUGAUUAUUCCUAUAUCAAAUGGUAAGCAGUUAACAUAUAGAUGCGUAUAUAAAAUUAGAUGAACUACAUGUGUCAAAUGGAUCGAGAAAAAAAUGAAAAAAAAUGUAGAGGUAUUUUAUGCACAUCUGUUAUAGGCCUAUAUCCAAAGGAAAAGAACAAAGAGAAGACCACUAUGUUCCCACAUUGGGGAGAGAGAGAGAGAGAGAGAGAGUAUAUCACGUCCUUCUUACCUAAUUUACGAAANNNNNNNNNNNNNNNNNNNNGGGAGAGAGAGAGAGAGAGAGAGAGUAUAUCAGCCUUCUUCCAAUUUCGAAUAAAUAUUGAAGUUGCAUUUUGAUUCCUAAAGAUCCUAGAAUCCAAUGCCAAACACCAUAAAAUUUCCAAAAGGAAAUAGAGCACAUAAGAAACAAGGGAAAGAAACCUUGCUGCACAAAAGAAAAAGUUAUGCCUGCAUUAAUUUACUGUUCAUUAGCCUAAUAAAUCAACUAUAAUAUCCAUUAAGCAUGCUUAGUGUAAAACAAAUUGGAGACUCCAUUUAAUUUUUGCCUUUAAUAAUGACAUCUACAAACAAAUGAAAAAUAAUAGUUGACCCAGCACAAAUGAGCAUUAAAUAGAGGUAUGACAAGACCAUCCAUGGUCUAGUUAAUCUAAAACCUAGAAUGAUGUUUUAGAUAACAAGACUGCAUCAUUUCAACACCAUUGUCUGAGCAUAUGACAACCACCUUUACCUUGGCAAGGAACAGAAACAGGUGUAAUGAACUAAUGAUGCAAUUUGAGAAACACGAUAAACUCAGCUACUACUUUUCGAGUUCCAGAAGAGACAUGAAUGCUCUCACUAAAACACUAAAGGAAUAAAUGAAAAAUAAUAGAAAGGAAGAAAAUGCCAGUGAUGCCAUUGAACUCCUAAAUGUCCACCACAAUUGUGAACAACAAACAAGGAAUGUAUAUUGGAGAUUUUAAACAUUUAAGAAUAUGACAUUAUGACCUGUGGUGGUGAUUAUAAUAGAGGAGAAACCUUCAGUAAGUUAGAAACAAUCGAAGUCAUUACAAGAUAACUAAAAGCUUUCCUCUUACUUUCUUUUUCUUUUUUCCAUUUUUUGGUAAUUAUUCCUAUUUUUCCAUGAAUGGGCAAGACAAGCUAAAUUAAGUCAACACUAAAAGUGAUCCAAAGCAACAUUAAGUGAGAGCCCAAAAAGAGGCCACAAGGAUUAGAGUAUUUAACUCCAAUAGGCAAAAAAGCUAGAACAUUCAUUGAUGUAUCAGAUACUGGGUAGGAAUGGACAAUCCAAUGAGUUGUAUCUUGUCUAAACAUCCUACUUCUCAAGUACAGGCAUGUGAAUUUCGGGAGUCUUGUACUGAAGCUUAAGGGUAAGGGAUCUGCAGGAAUCAAAUGAGGUCAGUAUAGAUUCUGAAGCAAACACAUAGGCCAAUAAAUGUGGGAAUUGGAAAGAAAUUGAAAAAAAUUCAACAUGCUCAUCAAAGACCAGGAUUGGUCAGGAGUGGAUGUUGAAAAAGCGUAAUUGGUCAAAGAAAGAGAUGCUGUGUAUGAAUCACUCACAUAUUCUUCUGAAUUAUAUGCACCCGCGG
rnacentral:lncRNA from 1 species